rnacentral:rRNA from 1 species
AUGAAUCUGCUAGUGCUUAAUUGCCGCGGGUGUGGGCGACCCGAGACAGUUAAUGAAAUUUGUGACCUCAUCAGGUCACACCGUCCAACACUGGUUUUUCUCUCGGAGACCAAGUGUUCAGAUAAGAGAGCUCAGGAACUAAGAUGGAAAUUUGGUUUCAACAACGCGUUUGCUGUUAAAAGUGAAGGUAUGAGUGGUGGUCUGGUCCUCUACUGGAAUAAU